GCCAGCAUGGCUCAGUGGUUGAGCAUUGAGCUAUGAACCAGAAGGUCACGGUUCGAUUCCCGGUGGGGGCA
rfam:Myotis brandtii contig161481, whole genome shotgun sequence.